rnacentral:lncRNA from 1 species
UACAGAUGGGCAGAGUCGCUGGGUAAUGAGCGUGCCGAGAUUCAUUCCCGGAAUUGGCCGCUAGGUGGCAGCAGCAGGCCCUGUUGCCAUCUCCUACGAGGCUUGGCGGGCUCUGGCGGGGAGAAGCUGGGCCUAGGUGGUGUCCCGCGGUGGCCUCAGGCUGACUGGCCAUUCUCCAGCCUGUCAGGUCUGAUUAGCACUCGGGAGGCGGGUGUAGGCUCCUCCCCAUCUGCAGCAGCCCCGGGGAAAGAGCCCUAGUCCAGGACUCAGGCCCCUGUUCCCAGCGCGGUUUAGCUGCCAACCGGAUCUCCUUCUGCAAGAGGGGAAACAGAAGGAAACUUUAUUCCCGAGUCUGUGAAGCCAGGAAAAGGGGCAAUGCCUGGUGGGUGGGAAGGCAUCUACACCCGGGGCCUCCUAAGUAAGACCAGGACCUCGAGGGGAGGCUGGAGGAGGAGCCACAGCCCGCAGUCACUGGGCUGAGCAGGAGGAACAUUCAAAAGGCCUGGGAGCACAGGGUGGGGUGCUGGGCAGUGAGACCUUCCCCUGGCCUCCAUGUCAUGGACAGAAGGUGGACGCCUUGUCACAAGCUGACCACAUCAGAUGCUCUCUUUCGGGACUUUGGGACUGAGAAAGAGAGAGGUGAGUCAGUCCCCGUGUGCAGCUGGAAAGGCAUCAGGUAACCCUGGGUGGGGUCUGAGGAUGGCAGGAAAAGCCUGUCUGUGAAGGGAAGGGAAGUGAGAGUGGGGAGCAGGGAUGGAGGGAUGCUGGGAUGGAGGAUGGAGGGCACAGGGAUACAGGAAUGGAGGGAUGGAAAAAUAGAGGGAUGCAGGAAUGGAGGGAUGAAGAGGUGCAGGGAUACUGGGGUGGAGGGAUGCAGAGAACGGAGGCAUGCAGGGAUGCUGCGAUGGAGGAAUGCAGGGAUGGAGAAUGUAAGGGUACAGGGAUGGAGGAUGGAGGGGUGCAGGGAUGCAGAGAUGGAGGAUGGAGGGGUACAACGAAGGAGGGGUGCAGGGAUGGAGGGAUGGAGGGGUGCAGGGACAGAGGGAUGCAGGGAUGGAGGGAUGGAAGGGUACAGGGAUGGAGGGGUGCAGGGAUGGAAGGAUGGAGGGGUACAGGGAUGGAGGGGUGCAGGGAUGGGGGACGGAGGGGUACAGGGAUGGGGUACAGGGAUGGAGGGGUGCAGGGAUGGAGAGAUAGAGGGGCACAGGGACGGAGGGGUGCAGGGAUGGAGGGAUGGAGAGGUACAGGGAUGGAGGGUUACAGGGAUAGAGGGAGGCUCCUCCUUCAGUGCCCCAUGGUAUUCCUGGCCUAGUUCCUGCCCUGCUGAGGGAGGUACCCUGGGUCCCUGGAGCAAAGGCCCCUCAGGACUUUAGACCUGGCCAGUGAAGUGGAAAUGCCGUUCUGGACACAGUGGUGGCUCUGGGUGCCCUGAUACCUGUUGGCCUCUCAGAAGCGGCUGCUGUGACUCCUAAGGCCACAGAUGGGCACAGCCUCAGGCCUGGCUGCCUCCUCUACCCUGCAGCCCAAGUACCUGGAGUUAACACCCACAGAGGGCACACAGUGGGGGCUGGCUGAAGGACUGUGGUGCAUCCAGGCGGCAGGGCACUAUGCGCCAUGAGAACAAGCCAAUGUGACAUACGCCGACAGGCAGACGCCCAGGAUGGGGAUGAGAACACAGCCGGUGGCAGACCAACCCCGUGGGAAAAACGGAGGUCACCAACUGCACAGCCACCUGCUUCCAAACGUCACACUCCCUGCCUCGAGCGCUCACUUCUACCUUACUCAAAUGGUAGCUAUUACAGGAACAUGAGUU